rnacentral:rRNA from 1 species
UACGGAGGGGGCUAGCGUUGUUCGGAAUUACUGGGCGUAAAGCGCACGUAGGCGGCUUGGUAAGUUAGAGGUGAAAGCCUGGAGCUCAACUCCAGAAUUGCCUUUAAGACUGCCGAGCUAGCAGGUGAGAGAGGUGAGUGGAAUUCCGAGUGUAGAGGUGAAAUUCGUAGAUAUUCGGAAGAACACCAGUGGCGAAGGCGGCUCACUGGACCGGCAUUGACGCUGAGGUGCGAAAGCGUGGGGAGCAAACAGG